rnacentral:rRNA from 1 species
AGUGGACGCUGGCGGUAGGCCUAACACACGCAAGUCGAACGGCAGCACAGAGGAGCUUGCUCCUUGGGUGGCGAGUAGCGGACGGGUGAGGAAUACAUCGGAAUCUACUCUGUCGUGGGGGAUAACGUAGGGAAACUUACGCUAAUACCGCAUACGACCUACGGGUGAAAGCAGGGGAUCUUCGGACCUUGCGCGAUUGAAUGAGCCGAUGUCGGAUUAGCUAGUUGGCGGGGUAAAGGCCCACCAAGGCGACGAUCCGUAGCUGGUCUGGGAGGAUGAUCAGCCACACUGGAACUGAGACACGGCCCAGACUCCUACGGGAGGCAGCAGUGGGGAAUAUUGGACAAUGGGCGCAAGCCUGAUCCAGCCAUACCGCGUGGGUGAAGAAGGCCUUCGGGUUGUAAAGCCCUUUUGUUGGGAAAGAAAUCCAGCUGGCUAAUACCCGGUUGGGAUGACGGUACCCAAAGAAUAAGCACCGGCUAACUUCGUGCCAGCCGCCGCGGUAA